rnacentral:rRNA from 1 species
AUUGAACGCUGGCGGCAGGCUUAACACAUGCAAGUCGAGCGAGCGGCGGACGGGUGAGUAAGGUCUGGGUAACUGCCUGAUGGAGGGGGAUACCUACUGGAAACGUUUGCUAAUACCGCAUACCAUCAGAAGUGCCCAGAUGGGAUUAGCUAGCAGGUGGGGUAAUGGCUAACCUAGGCGACGAUCCCUAGCUGGUCUGAGAGGAUGACCAGCCACACUGUAACUGAGACACGGCCCAGAAGCCGACGGGAGGCAGAAGUUGGGAAUAUUGCACAAUGGGUGCAAGACUUAUACAGCAAUGCCGCGUGUGUGAAGAAGGCAAUCGGGUUGUAAAGCACUUUCAGCGAGGAGGCGUUACUCGCAGAAGAAGCAACGGCUAACUACGUGCCAGCAGCCGCUGUAAUUC